UUUUCUAAAUUACAUUUCACCUUUAAGCUUUUUUAUUUCACUUGGAGAGGGGGGUCCAGACUGAGGCAAGGGAAAAAAACAACUCAUAGCCUUAGCGCACAACCCUCUUACAUGUGUGUAAGAGGGAAACAUCAAAGAACACAAAGGACAUUAAAGACAUUAAAAGAGCAGAGCUGAUGCAACCAGCCACUUCUACACACAGCUAUGAAUAAAAAGCAAAAGAAACAUAUACACUGUGGCGGCCUCUGCGGUGUUCCACGCCAUCGUCCGCUGGGGUGGAGGGAGCACGGCCAGAGACAGGAGCAGACCCAACAAAGCAACCAAGAGAUCGCUGUCAGCCAGUGUCCAGUCUGCAUGGAUGAGCGAGGAUGCGUCCAAGGAGACUGAGGUGUCCAACACCCGCUCGUUCAGCCAAGACACUGUGAAGCCUGUGACGAUGAUGGACGUAAACCGAGAAGUUGGUCAACUUUGACAAUCAACUUAAAACCAAAGAUGGCAAGAAAGACACAAGAUUAUUUAUCUAAACGGGAAGAUAUGAACAUCCCAUCAGUCGGCAUCCCACUGAGAGCAGACAUUGUACAAACCUUAUAACUAUACUGUACCUCACCAGACUUGAUGGAUAUCUUGCUUUGAGAUGGCGGCCCUACCUAAGUCGGCCGCCGCAGGACCGCCCAUCACAAGGCCACGGGAACUACCCACCCCACCUGCAGGGACCGCAACGAUGGAGAUGGAACAUCCAGCAACUGCCCUGGCGAAUCCUCCCUCUGAGGGAAAAGGAAAAGGAACGAAAAAAAAAAUCACAGACACACUGACACACAAGGUCACUACCCCAGCAGCUGGCCGCCUUGCAACACUGCAGAAUACCCUGCAGAGCACCGAGCUGCCACAAUGGACGCGGGGACUAGACCCAGCAGGCCCCAACCAAGACGGGCAUUCAGAAGAGGUGGACGGCGGGACCCAGGGGCCCCAGACACGCAGCCUUGCUGCAGUAGCUUGAGAUGCAUAUACACACACACACAUAUAUAUAUAAUAAUAAUUACAUACAUACACACAAAUAUAUAAACAAACAAAUCCAUACACAGGCUGGCGGGGCAGCGAUCCAGCCCCUGAACCCACAUGCACCAAGAACCAGCCGUUCACUCCCCCCCUCCUACAGGUCCGGCCGUGCCCCCCCUUCCCCAGGAACAACCCCGGACAAGUCCGCACCCAGACAACGGCACGACACUGGGCGGGAAGGACAGCACAAGUCCGCCAGCCCCGACAACCACCACCGACGCGCUGCCACAAGCGACAACAUCGACCACCCCCCCGCACCGGACCCAGCAGCCGUGGGUGCCCGCACGACACACAAACUGCAGCAGAAAAAACGGCUGCAAUACCCCUGACAACCAGCACCACUCGAUCAAAUCUAAACAAUUUAAAAAACGCGACCGACAACCACACGCCAAUAGGAUCAUUGAGACCAUCCAGCGCUAGCUCGCCAGUCAGCCCAAACGCCAGCAUGCAUCAUCAACACCACCCCCCACUAAAAAACUCCACUCCCCAGUCCAAACCCGCACAAACACACCACUGCCCAAACAACUGAGACACCGCACCCACACCAAACAAGAGGGAUUCUAUUUCUAUGUUAGGUGUUUCCAACCAAACCAUUUAGCGAAAUUUAGCUCUUAAUAUGGCUGCAGCUAUCGAUUAUUUUAGUAAUCGAGUAAUCUAUCAUUUGUUUGUUCAAUUAAUGGAGUAAUCUGAUAAAACACACUUUUUUAGUUGCAGUAAGUAUUUUAUGGACAUGUAAAUUAACAAAAAUGAUUCCGCUUGCCAUAAACUUCAUUCUUUUUUACUAAUUAAUGCAUAUCAUCAACACUGAAAUUGCACUUUUAACAUCCAUCCAUCCAUUUUCUACAGCUUGUCCCUUUUUGGGGGGUGCGGGGGGUGCUGGAGCCUAUCUCAGCUGCAUGUGUGCAGUAAUCAAUUUGUCUUAGUUACACUCAAACGAUUACUACAAGCAACAUAAUACAAAUGAAAGCAUUUUUCUAAUUGAUUUAAUCGUUACAGCCCUAGCUACUAACAUUGUGUACCAUGGAAUGUAUAACUCCAACCUUUUUUCUUCUGUGAGCUACUUUUACCAAAUGAAAAUAGGCGAGAGCUAAUCAUUAGGCCUUUUUCCACCACAGAACUUUAUGGUCUAAGUUUAUUUCAAAUAUGCAUACAAUUACAACAUAAUCCAUUACAGGUUCCAGUCUAUCUUUUCAACAUGUUCAAAAAAAGAGGAGGAAGAAGCAAAGCUGAUUUAAUCCUACCCCUUUUUCCAUUUCAUUGCAAUUGCCAACACUUAAUUUACUUCCUGUUCUCAAAUUUGUACACAGUUUACUCCAUGAAUAAUACAUUUCUAAAAAUAAAAUAAAUAGUAAAGCAAGUUGUAUGUCACAUAGUGAGAUCAAUAAGAUUUCAAUAAGUUUAUAAUGUUAAUCAUGAUUAUUCUUGUUUGUAGUUUAAACAGUCCUAAACUGGAUCGUAUUAGUGCUUUGUUUGACUUCUUUGCUUAACCCAUUCCAUAAUUUAAUUACACAUACUUGUAUACUAAUGCUCUUUAAUGUUGUACGUGCAAACAAAUGUUUUAAGUUGUUGUUGUUCUGUGUGGUUAUCGGGGCCAGUGUUCUAUCGAUUUCGGCAACCCACCGCUACUGACACAAACGCAAAUAUUUCAACUAUUUAAAUGCCCAUUAAAAACAACAGCUCCUUUUUUUGUACACUUUUGUGGACAUUGUUACUCCAAAAGUAAGUAGUCAAUUUAAAUUGUAUUCCAUUCAUAUCUUCAUAUUGCUGUUUAAACAGAAAUAUUAAUGUCGUGCGCACAAACGCAAAUAUUUCAACUAUUUUUCUUAAACAAAAUACCCAUCAAAAACAGCAGCUCCCUCAUGUACAAUCCUGUUGUAUAUCAUUCAUUGUAUAUUCUACUUGUACAUUGUAGUUGUAAUCUCCUUUUAAACAGGCAUAUUAAAUUCGUAGACGCGAAUAUUCAAUUUGUAGAUAAUUACAGCGUGAGGAAGUUCACGUUGACACAAACAAUGGUAGCUUACAGUUUUGUUUUAGGAAUAUUAAUUUCAGUUCAAACAAAGGUGGCGUUUGCACAGCCGAACUACGACGAAUUGUGCUCGACUACCAAACAUGAAGUCCUAACGCGACUUGUGAAGACAUUGCAAGAUGGAGCAAAGAUACAGAGACAUUCACAAUUAUCUGUUUGAGGGCAAAUACCCCGACGGGCACAACAAAAAUCAAUGAUUAAGCCUCAGGAGAUAUGAUUGAAAAUAAAGGAAGCCCCGUCAUCAAGUGAGUGCUGUGGUUGCUGGAAGUCUAUUUUCUGAACGAUAUCAACCUCUUAAAAAAUGGACAUUUCCUGUUGAAGAGCGAUGGGUUUGUCUGGUAAAUGUAGGCGCUCAAAGGAUCUUAGUGGUCAGUGCCUCUUAUAUUUUCUUUAGAUCAAUUUCUGGCAUGUAUUAAUUGGGCAUUUCUGCUGGCCUGAUGCAACCAAUUAAUCUUCAUAAAGUAAAUAUGUUAGGCUGUGAUAAAAAAAUAACAUGAAUUGAGUAAAAAAAUGUACAGGUUGUCAACAUGUCAGCGAGGACUCUGACCAUAAUUGACCCAAUGGGAAAAUAAGACGACCACAAGCAGAAGAUCCUACAAAAUUGGAGGUAACCACUUGUGAAAGUUUAACUUUAAAAACCAAGGUCAAUGUUAAAAUGGCCUUUACAGAUUUUCAAGCUUUGUCUUUUAUGUGUGACCAGAAUGCGUCUUGAACAUUAAUUAGGAACUUCUUGAAGAUGAAAGGCCAAGGAGACAAGUGGAGUGCAAUAACUGUUACCCACCAGAAUCAGCAAGACUGCAGUUGAAAACUGUUUCAUCUCCUCUUGUCAGCCAAUCAUAUAUGUAACUAAAUGCCUAAUAUUUUAUUUUGCAGUUUGCUGAAGAGUUUCUGCACCACCACAGUGUCUUAAGCACCAAAACUGAUGCAGCAGCUAUUUUAGAGGCUCAGUUGGAAGUAGCAAGUUCCCUCCUACAGGCCAACAUGUAGUAUAUAGUCCCUGAACCCACUGCCGAGUCCUAAAAUCCCCCCACACAUCAUUGCUUUUUUGCUCCUGCUUCUGCUGAUUUGGUUUCGUUUUUUUAGGGUGCAGACACACUUGCAUCGGUGAGACCACACUCCACGCCUCACCACGCUCACCGACCAGCUCAACCUGCCUGACUUCCACCAGAUGGGCACCAUGUUGUCGCUGCUGCACUUUAAAAAAGUCCCCUUGAUUUGAUGUUGUCCCACGUUCAAUGUGUCCAAUAUCAGAGAGGAGAGACAAUCAGCCAGUCAAGAUCAGCAACUCCUGAGAUGGGUAACACAGAGCUUCUGCAUCCAUGACCUACUGAGGAUGUUGGCAGUCAUUCUCAGCAGUCAACAGGAAGGCAUGGAUCUGAAGAUGACUGUUUAAAGCCUGUACCAAAUCAAGAUGCAGACCAGUUGUUAAGUGAUGUCUCAGAUUCCCAUUUAAUCCUGCCAUUCAACAAUCUCUUGAGGACUCUGAAGUGAAGGUUGGACCCAUUGUUGGUGAUGAUAGUGAUAAUCAAGACACCACCCUUCCCUGGAAUCCACAUGACUUGAGCAGCAUGCAGCAUUCUACAUUCAAUGAUGGUCCUGUAUCAUCAAGCUGUCUUCCAGCAUCACCAGAUCCAUUUGACAAAGAAAUCUUUCUUUUGAAAUUAAGACGAGUAAACAUAGUUGAUGAUGUCCUUACUGUCUUCAUGGAUCCAAAAGUACUGAAUGCUAGUCUAAGAAUGGAGUUUACAAAUGAGAAAGCUAUGGACACUGAUGGUGUGUCAAAAGAGGCGUACUCCGCAUUCUGGGACCACUUAUGGAACCAGUGUGAGGAGGAAGAUGAACGAGUACCCAGGCUACGACCAGAAUAUUCUGAGAAGAAAUGGCAAGAUCUCGGAAGAGUGUGGUUGAAAGGAUACCUGGACCACAAAAUCCCACCAAUCAGACUGUCACCAGCCUUUGUUCUUGCCUGUUGUAAAGGAGUUAGAGCAGUGGAUGAAGAACUAUUGAUGAUGUCAUCUGCCAGAUUUUUUUCAGAGAAUGAGCGUGUGUCGCUUGAAAAGCACUACAGGGUACCAUUGAUGAAACUGUUGAGGAGGACUUACUUGAUGUCUUCUCCAGAAUGGGCUCAUACUGCCUGCCCCCUAAAGACAAUUUACGGGCUGCUAUUUUAACAAUGGCACACAAAGCUCUUCUUCAAGAGCCAAAGUUCAUAAUUGACUGUUUCCACUCCAGUGUUCAUAAUGCUAUGCCAACGCUCAUAACCAAAGACAACCUAAUGGAGAUCUAUGAAUCUAAGAGGCCAACUAACAAGAAAGUGGCCUUGAUGAUAAAACCAUCAUUUGAAAGCCUAAAUCCACAAGAGCAGACUGCUCUUAACCACCUGCUACGGUAUAUGAGAAGCAUCGACCAAAGAAAAUUGGAGAUCUUCUUGCGCUUCUGCACAGGAUCUACUGUGCUGUGCAAAGACACAAUUGAAAUAACUUUUAACACAUUGUGUGGUUUAAGUCGCAGGCCUGUAGCAAGCACAUGUGAACAAGUUCUUGAGUUACCAUGGUCUUACAGCACAUACCCUGAGUUUCGCAAAUAAUUUGAUAAUGUCUUGUCUGGCGACUGCUUCACAAUGGAUAUUGUGUAGUGAAUGCAAAGCACAUCCAUCUUCUACGCUGAGGUUAUUAGGGCAUUUGUCUGAGGCAAAACUGUUUGUACAGAUUUCCAUUUGUUGUUCUUAUUAAAACAGAAACCGUUGACAUUUUUUAAAUUAUUUUAUUUUCUUAUUUUUUCUGUAAAUUGUUAGUACAUUGAGAUGUAUUUUUUUCCACAAGACAGUUUAAGUUUAAUCAUUUUGAUAAGUCAGCAGGGUCUGUUCUCACAGGUGGAUGUCCCUUUUUGUACAAUUAUUACAUUUUCAUGUGCAUCUUUUAUGCAAUUGUUAUUCUGAAUAAUGUUCAUCAUUCAGCAUUUAAGUCAUCAUUCAACAAAGAAAUUCCUGUUCAAUGCAAGUACAAUACAUUUCAAAUGAUUGUUCAGUUCCUCUUUCAUGUCCUGCUUAGUUUCUCUUUGUAGUCAGUGUGCAUAUAGUGACAUAUCAAUCCUAUUUCGGUUUUGCUGCAAAAGGUUUUUAAUGUUUGUGGCAUAGCACUGUUCAAGUGUAGUCAGUGUGGACAUGUUGUAGCCCUGAAUAAUCUGAAUAAAAAUCCAUCUCAAAUUA